rnacentral:rRNA from 1 species
GACGAACGCUGGCGGCGUGCUUAACACAUGCAAGUCGAGCGGAGCGGCGAACGGGUGAGUAACGCGUGAGUAACUGCCCCCCUCUCUGGGAUAACAGUUGGAAACGGCUGCUAAUACCGGAUAGUGGGGGAUGACUCGCGUCCUAUCAGCUUGUUGGUGGGGUAGUGGCCUACCAAGGCGACGACGGGUCGCCGGCCUGAGAGGGCGACCGGCCAAAUUGGGCUGAGAUACGGCCAAAACUCCUACGGGGGGCAGAGGGGGGGAAUAUUGCACAAUGGGGGAAACGCGGAUGCAGGAGCGCGCGGGCGGGAUGACGGCGUUCGGGUUGUAAACCGAUUUCAGCCAUGACGCGUUACCAAAAGAAUAAGCACCGGCUAACUUCGUGCCAGCAGCCGCGGUAAUAC